UCCGUGGAACAUGCAUGGGCACAGAAAGGAUAGGAUCGGGUGCAGGUUUUCUACAAAAGUUCAUGACUAGCACUAAAGCACCCGUUUGAGAUAAUUUAUAAAUAGUUGACUGAAGACCACGGCUGUGCUGAAUGUGGUGUGUAAUGCUGUAAUGGCGGGAAAGUCUCCUCUGUUAAGACUGGGCACCCUUUGAUUAAGGUCAAACACGAUUUUUAUUUUGGGUUUUGGUACACAACCCGAGUUAGCGGCAAGGUAUAAAAUGUUUUUUGGUGUGUUUUGUCGCUCAGAUGUGCUUCGAGAAGAGCAUGAUUAGCCCAUCACGUCUGAUGAACGACCAUUCAUGACUCCCCAGGAAGUCCACUGGACAUACAGAACACUGAACAUUGGGAGAUACUUUCAUCAAAUGCCGUUGGAGAGAGUGUGUUUCUGCAGCUUCUUCUAUUAAGCUGCAGCAUUGGAUUUUCAGCUGCCUUCAUUUUCUCAGGAAGAAGCCACAUCCCCUUUUGAACGGCCUUGAAUAACCUGCGUGGGUUGGUGGCUGUUUCGUAUUGCGUCUCUUUAAAUUAAAUAACUGUUUGCAAAUGGAGGGACCGGGGGCUUGGCCGGGUGCUUGGUAGACCAGGUUGGCUCCAUGAGGAAGGCGAGGCGCGCACUCUCACUCACGGGGCUCUCGGACGCAGGCGUGACGGGCAGGCUGAUGUCACUGCUGGUGGGCGAGUCCACGUAGUCCGCUGGGGGCAGAAUCACGGGGAUAUCCUCCUCUUCCUCCUCCUCCUCCUCACCCCCGGGCUGUGUGAGGCUCAGCAUGCUCGACGACUCCAGGCUGGGGCACGCUUAACAGGCGGACUUGCAGAUGCCCACUCGGCCAGCAGGAGGUGUCGGAGAGCGAUAAGCAACCAUCCCUGCCAACUCGACCCUCCCUAACCCUGGGUGAGGCUGCUACCUAUUACGCACCCUCCUGUGAGGUUAACUGCCACACUUGGCACAGGCACUUUUGGGAUUUGUUCCCAGACCGCGAGGCCCAUGCAAUGGAGCGCCUUAACUGGAUGACUCCCAACAGCAACCCGGUUACAGUGUUCCUGAGCGCAUCUCAAAACACGGCCCGUCUGUGUGAGUUCACCCACGACAGGGCCCUGCACAAGGGAACACUAAGGCACAAAAUGGCUGCUGUGUCUCUGCCAGACGGCGGUGCUGACUGAGGAUGAAGCACGUUCAGAUGCUGAGACGAAAACCGUUUGUAAAUGCUACCCAUUAAAA